UCGCACAGUGUAAUUUAGUAAGUAAAUACCUUCAACUUUAAAAUUCAUUUUAAAUAAUAAAAUUGGGACCUCUCUAACAAACGUUUGAACACUUUGAAAUCCAGUAAUAUUUUGACGAAGAGAAAGUCCCGUUAGAUUUCUGAAAAAUCUGGUUUGCCAUUUAGCAACUUGGACAUUAUGUAGACUUUUUGUUUACUUUUCGCAAAUUUUCUGUUCUGCCGAUUUUUUGAAUUAUGGCCUAUGGGCGCAACCACUGUGCAAUGCUUUUAAAAAUUUGGCUCAAGAACCAUCCACAUCAGCGUCGAUAGCGUCAACACCACCCAAUCCAACUUCGAGCUAUUUUACGAAUUUUUAACUCAAAAUAAGUUCAAAAACAACGACUACGCAUUUUGAUGCAAUUAUAUUGCUCAGACAACACGUAGAAAUCGGGAACGAGCCAGAAACUUGCGAUCCUUAAAUUUUUGGAUGCAGUGUUCAAACAAAAUGCAGCCCUUCAAGGAGCUAACAAAAAAAUUCUUAUGUAUUCCAGCCACGUCGUGUGAAAUCAGAUCAGGCCAAAUAAUUUCGGAUCGCCGUACCCGGUUGAAGUCCGAAGUCGUUGACCAGCUAAUGCUUAUAAAUAAGAAUUACUAUAGCUUUAAUAAGUGACUUAUCCGAACUCAAUGGACUGAAUUUUUGUUUUUAUUUUAUUAAUUUCUCUAAA